rnacentral:rRNA from 1 species
UCCUACGGGUGGCUGCAGUCGAGGAUCUUCGGCAAUGGGGGCAACCCUGACCGAGCGAUGCCGCGUGCGCGAUGAAGGCCUUCGGGUUGUAAAGCGCUUUAGUGGGGGAGAAAGGCCGAGAGGCGUGAUCUAUCCCAAGAAUAAGCUCGGGCUAAGUUCGUGCCAGCAGCCGCGGUAAGACGAACCGAGCGAACGUUGUUCGGAAUCACUGGGCUUAAAGGGGGCGUAGGCGGGCUAUCAAGUCUGGGGUGAAAUGCCACGGCUCAACCGUGGAACGGCCUCAGAUACUGACGGCCUCGAGGGAGGUAGGGGCAUGCGGAACUGUAGGUGGAGCGGUGAAAUGCGUUGAUAUCUACAGGAACUCCGGUGGCGAAAGCGGCGUGCUGGACCUCUUCUGACGCUGAGGCCCGAAAGCUAGGGGAGCAAACGGGAUUAGAUACCCCUGUAGUC